rnacentral:rRNA from 1 species
GACGUAGGGCGCGAGCGUUGUCCGGAUUUAUUGGGCGUAAAGAGCUCGUAGGCGGCUUGUCGCGUCGUUCGUGAAACCCGGGGCUCAACUCCGGGCUUGCGGGCGAUACGGGCAGGCUAGAGUUCGGUAGGGAGACUGGAAUUCCUGGUGUAGCGGUGAAAUGCGUAGAGAUCCGGAAGAACACCGGAGGCGAAGGCGGCUUGACUGGGCGUGAUCUGACGCUGAGGCGCGAAAGCGUGGGAGCGAACAGG